rnacentral:rRNA from 1 species
GACGAACGCUGGCGGCGUGCUUAACACAUGCAAGUCGAACGGAAAGGCCCUGCUUGCAGGGUACUCGAGUGGCGAACGGGUGAGUAACACGUGGGUGAUCUGCCCUGCACUUCGGGAUAAGCCUGGGAAACUGGGUCUAAUACCGGAUAGUAGCCAUUUUUAGUGUGAUGGUUGGAAAGUUUUUUCGGUGUAGGAUGAGCUCGCGGCCUAUCAGCUUGUUGGUGGGGUAAUGGCCUACCAAGGCGGCGACGGGUAGCCGGCCUGAGAGGGUGGACGGCCACAUUGGGACUGAGAUACGGCCCAGACUCCUACGGGAGGCAGAAGUGGGGAAUAUUGCACAAGGGGCGCAAGCCGGAUGCAGCGACGCCGCGUGGGGGAUGACGGCCUUCGGGUUGUAAACGCCUUUCGCUAGGGACGAAGCUUUUUGUGACGGUACCUAGAUAAGAAGCACCGGCUAACUACGUG